UUUUUAGGGUUCCGUAGCCAAAUGGCAAAAAACGGAACCCUUAUAGAUUCGUCAUGUCUGUCUGUCUGUCCGUCCGUCCGUAUGUCACAGCCACUUUUUCCCGAAACUAUAAGAACUAUACUGUUGAAUCUUAGUAAGUAGAUGCAUUCUGUGAACCGCAUUAAGAUUUUCACACAAAAAUAGAAAAAAAAAACAAUAAAUUUUGGGGUUCCCCAUACAUAGAACUGAAACUCAAAAUUUUUUUUUGACCAAACCCAUACGUGUGGGGUAUCUAUGGAUAGGUCUUGAAAAAUGAUAUUGAGGUUUCUAAUAUAAUUUUUUUCUAAACUAAAUAAUUUGCGCGAGAGACACUUCCAAAGUGGUAAAAUGUGUCCCCCCCCCCGUAACUUUUAAAAUAAGAGAAUGAUAAAACUAAAACAAAUAUAUGAUGUACAUUACCAUGCAAACUUCCACCGAAAAUUGGUUUGAACGAGAUCUAGUAAGUAGUUUUUUUUAAUACGUCAUAAAUCAACUGAAACUCAAUUUUUUUUCAUCAAACCCAUACGUGUGGGGUAUCUAUGGAUAGGUCUUUAAAAAUGAUAUUGAGGUUUCUAAUAUCAUUUUUUUCUAAACUGAAUAGUUUGCGCGACAGACACGUCCAAAGUG